rnacentral:rRNA from 1 species
GAUGAACGCUGGCGGCGUGCCUAAUACAUGCAAGUCGAGCGAACAGACGAGGAGCUUGCUCCUCUGACGUUAGCGGCGGACGGGUGAGUAACACGUGGAUAACCUACCUAUAAGACUGGGAUAACUUCGGGAAACCGGAGCUAAUACCGUAUAACAUGUUGAACCGCAUGGUUCAACAGUGAAAGACGGUCUUGCUGUCACUUAUAGAUGGAUCCGCGCCGCAUUAGCUAGUUGGUAAGGUAACGGCUUACCAAGGCAACGAUGCGUAGCCGACCCGAGAGGGUGAUCGGCCACACUGGAACUGAGACACGGUCCAGACUCCUACGGGAGGCAGCAGUAGGGAAUCUUCCGCAAUGGGCGAAAGCCUGACGGAGCAACGCCGCGUGAGUGGAGAAGGUCUUCGGAUCGUAAAACUCUGUUAUUAGGGAAGAACAAAUGUGUAAGUAACUAUGCACGUCUUGACGGUACCUAAUCAGAAAGCCACGGCUAACUACGUG